rnacentral:rRNA from 1 species
UAGGUUCGGGGUGGACGCGUGGCGACACGUGCAGCUGACGAAUACUAAUCGAUCGAGGACUUAACCAA